GACGAACGCUGGCGGCGUGCUUAACACAUGCAAGUCGAACGGAAAGGCCCUGCUUUUGUGGGGAGCUCGAGUGGCGAACGGGUGAGUAAAACGUGAGUAACCUGCCCUUUACUUUGGGAUAACUUCAGGGAAAUGGGGCGAAUACAGGAUAGGAGCUCCUGCUGCAUGGGGGGGGUGGGAAAGUUUCGGCGGUUGGGGAUGGACGGGCGGUUUAUCAGCGUGUUGGUGAGGUAGUGGCGUAACACGGCUUUGACGGGUAGCCGGCCUGAGAGGGUGACCGGCCACAUUGGGCCAGGGAAGCGGCCAGGACUCCUACGGGAGGCAGCAGUGAGGAAUUUUGCACGAUGGGCGGAAGCCGUAUGCAGCAACGCCGCGUCCUGGAUGACGGCCUUCGGGUUGGAAACCGCUUGCGCCUGGAACGCAGCGCGAGUGACGGUAAUGGGUAAAGAAGCAACGGCUAACUACGUG
rnacentral:rRNA from 1 species